AUGUUUGUAGGAAAUAAUAACAACAUGUAUAACAAUAUGCCAAUAGCCAAAUUUCCAAUUUCAGCAACAGUAGAAUUCCAUCACUUUACUUUGCCAAAAGCCAUUAGUGUUUGUCAAGACAUUUUAACAGCCUUUGCUCAUAAUCUGUUGUUGAAAUGUAUGAAAGUAACAAUUCACAGUUUUAACAACUUUCACUGUUGUUUUUUACUCUACAGAUGCCAACAGCACCCAGGAAUAUCCAAAACAGCCACAGAUGCAGAAUCCAACUACACAAGAUUACCCCACAACUUGCUUGAUCAGUGCCACAACAAUCCUCACAACAUCCUCCUCACCACCGUCCAGCAUUGGUCAGUGGUGGAUAUGGCUAGCGUCGGCAGCUGGAUGCGUAGUACUAGUUGUGUCAAUUGUUGUCAUAUGUAUCGUGACUCGCAAUCCGAAAGAGAACAUCUAUAUGAACACCAAACCAGUGGAAUCGAGCUGCUGGAGGCAAAACCGGACUAAGAGGGACAUCUGCGACCUGCCUGAGUCCAAAAAGACUGACACCAUUAAACCGCUGAGGAAGUACGACACACUUUCAAGCAACAGAAUCCGCAGGCCAUAAAAAGAGAUAGCCUACAUGAGAAAAGCUGAUUUUUUUUUUCCUUUCAAGACUUACAUUCAGUGGUUACAAAUAAAUGUGAAAACAACAAAAAGAAAAAUCUGCCA
ensembl:lncRNA